UAAGUUUGCCUGAAGAGAAUGCAGAUGAACC
rnacentral:piRNA from 1 species